GGUUCUAUGGCGCAAUUGGUUAGCGCGUCCGGCUGUUAAAAGCAUACUACCUAUGCCUUGAUGGAACCGGGAGGUUGAAAGUUCGAGUCUUUCUAGUACCG